AAGUCGUAACAAGGUUUCCGUAGGUGAACCUGCGGAAGGAUCAUUACCGAGUGCGGGCUCCCUCGCGAGCCCAACCUCCCACCCGUGUUUUUUAACCUCUCCUGUUGCUUUGGCGGGCCCACCGCGACUCCCUGGAGUCCCGGUCACCGGGGCCACCGUUCGCGGUGCCCGGGUCCGCGCCCGCCGAAGCGCCUAAGAACCCUGAUGAAGAUGGGCUGUCUGAGUAUACUAUGAAAAUUGUCAAAACUUUCAACAAUGGAUCUCUUGGUUCCG
rnacentral:misc_RNA from 1 species